UACGUAGGGCGCAAGCGUUGUCCGGAAUCAUUGGGCGUAAAGAGCUCGUAGGCGGCCUGUCGCGUCCGCUGUGAAAUCCCGGGGCUUAACCCCGGGCGUGCAGUGGAUACGGGCUGGCUGGAGGCAGGCAGGGGAGAACGGAAUUCCCGGUGUAGCGGUGAAAUGCGCAGAUAUCGGGAGGAACACCGGUGGCGAAGGCGGUUCUCUGGGCCGGUACUGACGCUGAGAAGCGAAAGCGUGGGGAGCGAACAGG
rnacentral:rRNA from 1 species